ensembl:snRNA U6 U6 spliceosomal RNA
GUGCUCGUUUCAACAGCACAUAUACUAAAAUUGGAAUGAUACAGAGAAGAUUAGCAUGGUUCCUGCGCAAUGAUGACAUGCAAGUUUGUGAAAAUUACCAUAUUUUA